rnacentral:lncRNA from 13 species
AUGUUAUCCUUCCUCUCCUCUGAAGACCCAGUGAGGGUGGAGCUCGGUCAGAGAGCUGUUGAGGUACUGGUUAGGAGGAACACUUCUACAGCCAGAGAGGGGCAGUCAAGAAAUGGAACGACAAGGCCACAGAGCUGUGGGAGACCACCUCAAGCCCCUGGUAGUGCCCGGGGGGGGGGGGGGGGGGGGGGAGACACCCCCCGCCCCCCCAGGGGGGGGGGGGGGGGGGGGGCAGAGAACUAAACAAAGAAAAGAGGGACAAAAACAAAGGGAGUGGAUGCGGGGUGCGUGUUGUAUUGGAAAAAAAAAAAAAACUUAAUACACAAAAACACACAAACAAUAGAA